CUCAAAGCAAGGCUCUUCAUUCUGAUGGAAAAGCUUUGCAAUCAACCUGAAAACACAGAUUAUAUUUUGGAGUGAAAAAAUACAUUUUCAAAGUGCAUGCAGAGGAAUGUAAUUACUAAUUUCACUCCAAAAUACCAUUUUUCAUCCCACUGUUAUGCCUUGGAGAACAGAUAAGUGUCUUCAAGUUGAUUGCAAAGCUUCUGUCAAAAUGAAGAGCCUUGCUUAGAAGCAUCAUGUUUUGUUUUGGUUGAAAUUUUGACUCUUUGCUUUGCAAUGUACCACCCAAAAUUAUUCCUGAGAUUUCAAAUUUUAUUUGUUUAAUUUGUGGGAUCUGAGAACCACUGAUGGUUGGGAGCCACCUUCUUGAAUCUCUGCAGUCCUUCUGGUGAAGGUACUGCCACAGUGCUGUCCUAGAGGGAUUUCCGUGAUUUAAACCUCAUGCAGAUGAAGGACCAACAAUACAGCUUCAAGUUAGGAUGGUGUGCGACUUGAAGGGGAAUCUACAAGUGCUGAUUUCUCAUCUACCUGCCAUCCUUGUCCUCCUUGGUAGAAGGUUUUAAGUUUGGAAGAAUCUGUUACUGUAACCUUACCAAGUAACUGUAGUGCAUUUUGCAGAUGAUUCACAAUGCAGCCAGCAUAUGCCAAUGGUGUAGUAAAUGAAUAUUUACGGUGGUGGAUGGGUACCAGUUAACCAGGCUGCUUUGUCCUAGGUGUUGUUGAGCUGCUUGAGAGUUGUUGGAGCUGCUCUAAUAUGGGCAAUGGAGUGUGUUCCAUUGCACUUCUGACUUGUGCCUGAAUAUGGUGGAAAGGGCUUGGGGUAUCAAGAGGAGAUUCACUUGUUUUGAAUAACCAACCUGCUCUUGCAGCUGUGAAGUUUCUGGUCAGUGGUGACUCCCAGGGUGUUAAUGUUGGGGAUACUCGGCCACUGAAUGUCAAGAGUAGGUCUUUCGAUUCUCUAUUGUUACCUGGCACUUUUGUGGUGUAAAUACUACUUGCCACUUAUCAGCCAUGCCUGAAUGUUGUCCUGGUCUUACUGCAAGCAGGUAUGGAACGGUUCAUUUGCUAAGGAGAUGCAUUAGACAUUGCGCAAUCUCAGCAAAUGACCUCAUUUUUGUGAAGGCAGGAAGAUCAUCUGAUGAAGCAGCUGAAGGUGAUUGGGUCUAGGAUGCUGCCUUGAGGAACUCCUGCAGUGAUGUCAGAGGUCGGGAUGAUUGACCUCCAACAAGUACAAUCAUUUUUUCAGCGAAGUAUGGCUUUUAGCUAUUGAAUACUUUUCCUUGAAGACCAUUGACUUCAGUUUUACCAGGGCUCCUUGAUCCUACACAGGAUAUGGUACAUUGUAAACAGAAGCCAGAGAUAUUAGAUUAAAUUUUCACAUCAAAUAUCUGCAUGGUGAUUUUGAUUUCCUUUUGAUUUUUAUUGUAUUUAUUAUUUUCCUCAGGGUUAACCUUAAUAUCUUGCUGUCAGAAUGACAGGCUGCAAUAUAUGGUGUAACUAGUUGUUUACGUAUUUUUCCAGGUUUCUUCUAAUCUCAUUCAUUGAUGCCUUGAGUUUUAGGCAAUGUUCAAUCUGCAGGCAAACUCAAGUUAACAGUACAGGGAGUCGUUUUAAUAUAUUUCAAGGGUGGCUUUAUGAUUGAAGCAAUAGUAUCAUAACUUUCUCCACAAAUGCAGCUGGAUCUGCUGAGUACUUCCAGCAUGAUCUAUUUUUAUUUCAGAUACGUAGGUUUUUUUAUUCUGUCUCCUAUUGUGAACCCAUGCUAAAAAAACAAGACCACAGUGUAUUGGGGUAACAGUAAGAUGCACCCAAUCAAACAGCAUCUCAUGUAUGUGUAUUGACCUGAUGCAGGAUUAUGUGCCUUGUUUAUUUCAAUGGAGCAGUGGAUUAGGAAGCAAAAGCGAUAGUAAGUAUAUUAAGUGAUAAUAAGUAUAUUAAGAAAAAAAAAUAGCUUCAGUUUAAUGUUUUAAUGGUGCCUCUGAAAGCUUUGACAAAGGUGUAGCCCUGCCAUAUCUAAAGGAAAAUCUGACUGUUCCAUAUUAUUUUUAUCUGGGUCACCAAUCUUCCUAUACAGCCAGAGAGAGGCUGUGAGGAAAGACCAGGAAUCCCUAGCUCAACCUAAAUGCCAAAGAUAGUGUUUCCGGUGGUAAGGACACAGUUUAUGGUGAAGUUGGAAGCUCUACAGUAAGCAGUGAUCAGAAUUUCUUGUACGGAGCAAGGGUGUGGCUGCAGAAGUGGAGUCAGGAGUUGCCCUGUGUGGAAUUAUAAAUUCAAACCAGCAUUGUUUCAAUUUUCCAAGAGCUUUGUGGAAUAUCAAGCUGUUAUUUUGCACAAAAUCCAUACAAUUCAAAAGUACCUACCUAAGUAAUUUUUGUUUUGGAAUUAGUAAAUAGGCAAUGGCUAUGAGUUCUGGGAUGCUACUAAUCUUUGAGAUUAUGUAAACUACAUUGGGAAGAAACAGGAAAAAUUAUGAAAAGCUAAACAAUAUAAAUUUUCUUGGCUAAUCAAUAAUCAAAAGAGAAGAUAGUAACGUCCAGGAUAGCUCAGAACAUUGUCUUAAACUGUUAGAUUGCAAAUAUUUUUUUAAUCAUUUUUUGAACAGCCAUGUAAACAUUUUUUUUCCAGAUUUAUAUAUUGAUGUUGUUUCUACAGAUCGAAACUCUCUCUGGUUCGGCAACUCCUGUGGUCCAGCAUGUUUUGAAUCUGUAGUAUAGAUCUAGAUAACUAAUGCUAACUAAGAUCUAAAAUUAACAAAGAUCUGUACUAAUCUGUGGUGAAUUAACCUACCAGUGGAACCUUUGCACUCUCAUUGAAAGUAAUCUCAGCCAACAGCAUUUACAACUUGGGGAAAUUUCAGGUUAUGGACAGUUCUCGGAACCCUUUUGUGACCCAGGGUGUAUCUAUACUUUAAAAGAACAGUUGUCCUACUCAGAGGAAAAUGAUUGAGGGCAAUUUCUGUGGUCUGCAUUUUCUUUGGUCCGGCAUCAGUCACGUCCCAAGAACAUUGGACUAGAGUGUUUCAACCUGUAUUGAUAAAUUUUUAAUGGUGUUUUCAGAACUUAAUACCAUUUGUAACACAUUCUUUUGCAGUGGAGUCCUUUAAACUAAUCUUGUCCAACAACAAAAAAACUGUCAAUGUUUCCUAAAGCAAUAGAGGGAAGGUCAACUGAGCUAUUAUUAUAAAUAGUGAAAAAAAUCAAUUAGAAGUAUGGAUACUGUGUUUUGGUACUGAAUUUAAAUUUUUGUGAAUAUUGGGAUCACUGUGCCUUCAUUUUGAUAUUUUCCUCUCUUUGGUGGCAUAGCAAAAGAAAUACCAGGAAUUACUGGUAAAGGUGAUCACACUUCUGAUGCAGUUUGGGGAUCAUCAUCUUGUGCAUGAAUUUACUACCGCAUGUGAGGAAAAAGGCUGGGUUACCUCUGUUCCAGUCGCCCCACACAGUCAAAACAAAAAUUAGAUUUGAAAUGUUGAGUUAAUGCCAGGUGUUGUGAGGGCAGUGCCUUCAGUUUACUUGCUGUUAGAGCAGUCUGCACAAUUAUAUGAAAUUCCCAGAUGAUUUAAACAACUUGAUCACAACCAAUUAGUGAUUGCCCCAUUCAUGAAUGAAUGUACCAAAUAAAGAUGUGAAAAUGAACUUGUAGACACAUUAAUUGAAUGUUAGGUAGUGAAAAGUAGGAAUUACUUUGUACUCUGAAGCAAUCUCCCUUAUGCCAAGAUUUAACCAAAAACAAAGUUGACUUUUAAGACUUGAUUAAAAACAGCAAAAGCUGCAAGCACUCUGCAGUUAGGCUGCUUCUGUCGAAAAAGGAACAGAGUUUAUGGUCGAGAUUUAAAAAAAACUCUUCAUCAGAACUGGGAAAGAGAGAAAACACAUGAGUUUUAAGUUGCAAGGAGGGAUGGAGAGCACAAAGAAAUAUCUGUAAUAGGGUGAGGCCAGGGUUGUGUGAGGAUAAGUUGUAGGGGUCACCUGGCCAAUGGGUUAAUGGGGACACUUGGAGGGAGGGAAAAAAAUUGAAUGGAAGCUAUGAGAUGAGGGCAGUUAAGAGAGUAAGAAUGAAGACCAGGGAAUGUUAAAAGCUGAAAAAUGCAUGGUUGUAGGGCAUGAUUAGCAGAUCAGGCUGUACUAGUGGAGUGAAAAACUGAACCAGUGUCACAGAUGGGGGACUUACAGUGGAAACAGUUCUGACAUUAGCUGAAGUUGAAAAAUUUGGUAUUGAUUCCAGAUGGCUACAGAGUGUCCAAAUGGAAGGUGAAGUGCUCUUUCUCAAGCUUGCAUUGGGCAUUGUUAUUGGCAGUGCAGGAGACCACACUCAGAUAUCUCAUAAUGAGAGGGGGAUGGAUAGUUAAAGUGGCAAGCAACAGAGAGCUCCAGGACACUCCUGCAGAUAGUACACAGGUGCUCUGUUAUUUAGUCUGCUCUUUUCUCUCUUUCCCAGUUCUAAGGAAAGGUUUUCAGCUUGAAAUGUUAAUUCUUUUUCUUUGCUGCCUGAUCUGCUGAGUGUUUCCAGCAUUUUCUGUUUUUAUUUCAUUUUUCCAGCAACUCUUUUUUAAAAAUUUUUUUUUCAGAAGACUCCAUUGUUUAGUGAUGUGUCUAUUCUGUUUGCAUUCUUCUCACAAGAUAAUCAAUUUGUAGAUGAAGGAAUAUAAGAUCACUAUGAAUCAAGACCCAUUUUAUUUAUAUAAUUUUAAAAAUUGGUUAUCAAAGAAUACUUAGAAACAACUGCAAAUGCUGUAAUACACAGAUAUAUCAGCAAUUCCUAUUUGCAUACUGAUGGUAAGACAGAUGAAGAUAGAAUAUUUACGAAGUGCAUCCUCCAUAUUUUUAUCAGACUAGCAUUGCUUUUUUUAUUUCAGCAUAGGUACUUGGAUUGUAUUUUAUCACUUUUGAAAUAGUGGAAAAAUGAGAGUGUCUUGUGAUUCUCAAACUAAGGACAUUGGGGAUUUCUCCAUGUGCAUUGUUUAAUACAGAAUUCCAAAGUUGUUUGUGAUUUACUUUCCUUCUAUUUACAUCUAUUUGCAACCUUCCCCCAUGUCAGAAGAUAUUAGGAGAAUUGAUGUGAAUUUGAAUUAUUUAUGAACUAGUCCUGCUGAAGGCUGUCUUGAAAAUCUUACUGUUUGUUCAAUGAAGUCAAAGUUUUAAUGGUAUACUAAAUCAUAAUUACAGAUUGGUAAAGGCUUUAUCCAUCAAAACUAAUUUAAUACACUUCAUAAUUUCAUAGCACAAAUAUUUGGAAAUGUAAGAAAUUAACAAAAGUUAAAGAUUGUAAACCUGCCAUAAUCAUAUAUGUUGCAAAAGUACAUUACUGGAGAUGCUGGAAAUCUGACGAUGCUGGAAAUUCUCAACAGAUCAGGUAGCAUCCGUGCAGAAAAAGAAAGUUAAUGUUUCUAGUUGAAGAUGCUGCAGCAGAACUAGGAAAAGUGAAACAAAUUUUAAAAUACAAAGGAAAAAGGGAAGAAGAUAACAGAAGGAAAGGUCUGCAAUAGGGUGGAUAAAAGGAGUUUAAGUGACAAAAUAAAUAAUGGAGCCAGGUGAAGUAAGAUGGUAAAGCGAUUAGUGAAUAAUAAAAGGUACUAUUGGGGGUGUUGUAACUGAGAGAAGACAAACAAAUACCUGAAAUUACCAGGAGAAAAGAAGAAAACAACAUGAUGAAUGCUGGAAAUGUGAAAGCAAAGGCUGGAAUUGCUAAUUAGCUGAAACUGUUGAAUUCAAUGUUAAGUCUAGAAACCUGUAAUGUGUCUGGUUGGAACAUGAAGUGUUCAUUGGAUAUGCAUUGGGUUCAUUGGAACAGUGUAGAAGGCUGAAUAGAAAGAAGUCAGAAUGGAAGUGGCACGGAGAAUUGAAGUGAUGGGCAGCGGGAAGCUCAGGGUUACACUUGCAAACUGAAUGGAGGUGUUCUGCAAAGUGGUCACCCAAUCUAGAAACACUGCUUCGCCUGGAAUAGUGGGAGAGGAGAGAAUGUAAGGCCAUGUGUUGCAUCUUCUGCAGUUGCUUGGGAAGGUGACCUGAGAGGUGCAAUGGACAUUAUUGGAGACUGAAGAAUGAAGCAGAACAUCCUGGACGGAACAUGCCUUUUGGAUUGCUGAGUGUGGGAGGGGAAGAUAUGUCUUGUGGCGACAUCACUUUGGAAAUUAUAUAAGAUGAUCCGUGGAAUGUGGAGGCUGCUGUGGGUGGAAGAGCAGGAAAUAAUACAGACCUGAUUUAGGGCCCUGUCAACUAUGGUUCAGGAUAACCCAUUGUUGGGGAAAAAAGAAAAACUUGUCUGAAGCAUUGUUGGAAGGUAAUGUCAGGAUGGAUGAAGCAGACUUGGAAAAACGGAGAAUGGAGAGGUCUUUACAAGGAAGCAGGGUGGGAGGAAGUGUAGUCAUUGUAGCUGUGAGAUUCUGCCAGCUUUCAGAGGAUACUGGUCACCAACGUAUCCCCUGGUGGAGAUGGAGAAAUUAUGAAAUGGAAGGCAUGAGAACAGUCAGAGAUGGACCAUGUGAAGGUGAAAAGAGAGUGGAAAUUAGCAGCAAAAUUUGUGGAACUCAACUUUAUGUUGCAGUUGUUAUUUAUAACAGCAGAAAACACUGCUGGAGGAACUCAGCAGGUCAGGCAGCAUCUGUGGAGGCAAAGGGUAGUUGGCAGUGGGUCCUGAUUCAGGGUUUUCUCCAGAAACAUUGGCUUUUCCUUUGCCUCCACAGAUGAUACGUGACCCGCUGAGUUCACCCAGAAGUUUGUUUGUUUGCUCCGGAUUCCAACAUUUGCAUUUUCUGUUGUGUCUUAAUUAAUAACAGUGCUUUUUCCCAUCUGGUUAGCUGUUUGUGAGAAUUCUUUAAUGUGAUUGGCUGCUUAGCAAGCUUGAUGAUAUCAUAACUUCUGGAUGCCAAAAAUUCACAUGAACUGAUGCCUGGCAGCAGCAGUAUAGAGAAUGGGAGUGUUAUUCCCACCAUAAUGAGUGGGGCUUUCUUUGAGGUUAGUCGUAAGUUCUAUUCCCUUGCCACUAAAUUUGAACUUCUGGGCUUGUCGUUCUGGAAUAUUAUCUGUGCCUAGGUUUCCUUAAUUAUUUGAUAUUGCAUUAAUAUCAGUUUACAUAUUGAAAUGUAUUUCAUGCAAAAUCAAUGAAAACUAUUCCAAACUAUGAAGUUAUGAAUUUUAGUUGUGUAAAAAUACAAUUAAUGUGACACUUUGUUUUUCAGUUAACAUUGAAUUUCAUUCUGCAGUCACAAGGCAAUUUAGCUUAUUCUUAUCAAAUAUUUUGUUUUAAUGUUUAAUCUGACAACCUUUCUCUUUAAUGCACCUGCUCACCUCAUGCCAACUGCAAUCUAUUGCUGUUACAUGGAAAGCUGUGUGUAAUCUGAUGAUUCAAAACUGAAUUAGGCUUAGUGUAAAAUGGGGUCAUUCUUUGUAAACAGAAUUUUAUCAAUAAUAGAAGUUUUUUGUUAAAUUUAGAACAUAAAUACCAGGAAUCACAAAACAGAAGGGCAAAGGUUUGAUUCUUGUACUUGAGUCCCACUCUUAGUCAUGAUAAUAUAGUGAGUUGCUAAGUGGAGUCUAUGCAUCUCUUCCAGUGAAGUUAAGAAAACAUGUUCACCAGUCCUAUGUCAGUUAGUGCAGCAUGACAGGAAACCUGAGACCAUGCCACCUAUCCUCUCAUUCCAAGCUUUGUUCAUUUGGGGAAAAUCUCUAAUGAAGCAAAAUGCUUGAAGCACUUUCUGGAGGAUUAUCAAAUAAAAUCUGAUUCUGAGUCAAAAAGGAGACAUUAGACUGAACCAAAGAAGUUUUGAGAAGGAGAGAAAUGUAGAGAGAUUUAGGAACAUCUGAAGCUCACUUCAGGUUGAGAUCUGACACUCAGGUUGAGAAAAGCUUCGUUCAAACAAGCUGAAGAGGGGAAUGGAGUUGGUGUCUAGAAAUCAGAGUUUUGGUUUGGGACCAAAAACAGUGAGUUUUGGAUUUCCCAUUGUUUCUCUAAUAUUAGAGAUUGGACAAACAGUCUGAGAUUUUGGAGAGGUGGUUAUGAGAUAGCAGUGGAUGUCAUCAGCAUAAAUGUGGAAUAGAUCGUGUGUUAUAGGAUAAAAAUGCAGAGCAUCAGCGUGGAGAUGAGAAGCAGGAAGUGAUCAAGGAUGAACCCUAACAGGACUGUACAUAAUUACAUAAGUGCUGGAAGGAAAGGCAAUGAAUUAUAUAAGUAAGAUGUUACAAAUAGCUGAAGACUUGGUGCAGAUCUUUGGGAAACACCAAUGAUCACUUACUGCCAAUUAUCGUUAAAUUUUGUCUUUUGCAACUCAAUUACUGACCAUGCUGCAAGGUCAUGUUCAAUUUGGUAUAUUAUUUUUUCUAAUAAUCCCAUGUCUUGGAAGCUUAUAAGGUAACAUUUAUAAAGAAUCCUCUAUCUACUGACCUCCAAGUGAUUUGAUGAAAUUAGUCAGACAUAAGCUAUCCCUUCCAAAUCCAUGCUGACCUCUUUCUAUAGUUGUUCAUUGUCCAAGGGUUCAAUCAACAUCGCUAAUAAAGGAUUCCAGUAACUUCCCACAUUUGGUUUUAAACUGAAUCUGCAGAGAUUCUGGAUAUUAUAACCAAUGCAUUUGCACACUCUCCAUCUCUUUGUGUUAAUAGCCUUGUGUGGAAACUAUCAGUUUAUGUACAUUGUAUAAAUUUCUGUUAUUUCCUCCAUUACCUAUUCUUCUUCAUACCAAAUUCACUUCUUCCUCUUGAUUCAUCUCAUGGCUCUGUUGUGCCACUGGUAUUUUGUUGACUUUCUCCACUGUUUACAAAUAUAAAUUCUUCUGUUUUUUUAUUAUCCACUAUAGACCUGCCUGUAUCUGUCUUCAGUGAAUCCACAUUUUCUUUACUGCUCUUCCUCUCAAUAUAUUUAUAGAUCAUUUUGCUGCUAGGCUUUCCCUCAAUUCCCAUUUUGUAUCUAUUAUUACUUGUGUCCAUCUGCUGCUAUUAAUGGAUGCCCCAGUUUGCUUUCCCUUUUCGUCUAAUCCUGUCUCUUACCUCAUUUGUUGACCAUGGUUGUUCAAACAAACUAAGACCCUUUGCCUUUUAGAGGCUGUUCUGGUACCAGAUUAAAUACUUCAACACUUCCUACUGUUUGUUUUGUUUUUACUUUAACAGUUUAAUGUGGGCAAUUAAUUUCCAUCCAUCCAUAAUUUGCUUUAGAUUUUAAAAUUAAAAUAAAUUUAUGAAUCUCACUCCUGUAUCUGAAAUGUAUUAAAUGUUAUUUUCUUCACUGGGAUUCUGCAAAGGAAUUUAAACCCAAAAGAAUAAUAUUCUGAAGUAAUGCUGACACCCAAUUAAGUGGAUCUUUUGUUUAACCAUUGUUAAUUUAAGCUUUAAGUCAAUUGUCACCCUGGAAACCAAUUCAAAAUGAUCCAUUUAAACAAAUAGAAAAUGAACAAAUUUUUUAAAAUGGUUAUUCAACUUUUGAUUACCUUUUGAAUGGUAUGUUUUUUAUUAUUGCAUGUUGCUCUAUGUAUUACGUAAAGCCUUUCACUUUCAAUUUUGCUGCUUUUCUUCCUGAAACAGUGAAUGGAUUUUAAAGUUAUCCCCACUGUUUUAACUGAUUUUCAUUUGAAGAUUGAUAGACUUAACAGCUCUGAACAAUAAUUAUAUCAAUAGCUAGCAAGAUCUACAGGUGACCUCUGCAUUAUGGAUGUUCUGAUAACGGAAAUCCACCCUUAUAGAAUUCACAAAUCACUACCCAAAAAUUUGAGAAAUGGAAUGAAGAAUGUUCUUGCCUAAUUUAUGUGUUUGAAAGUAAAAGUAAAUUAUACAAUUUUUUUUCAACUUGCAUUUCUUGAUGCAUAUUGCAGAUAACUUGGCUUCGCAUUAUGGAAAAUUGCAAUGCAGGCCAUUUUCUUGGAAUGCAACCCCCCCCCCCCCCCAUGCAUACUGCAGGGGUCACCUGUACUUACAAAAUGAGUGAGUGCUUCACUGAUAGUAUACACCUCCACUUUCCCAGAAAAUACAGCGCUAGUUAUGCAUUUGACUUGAGAUUCCAUUAUAAUGGAAAAAGAAUCUGACAUUUUAAUCACUGAAAAUGUUGCUUUGUUUUAAUCCCAUCUUUACAGGAUUUGUGCUAAUUGUAACAUUUGGAAUUUUCAUGGAUUUUGUUUAAAUAUCCAUAGUAAGUUUAGCAAAAAAAAAUUUCUGGCAUUUUUACUGUGGGGGAUAUUGUACUCCAAUGCAGAAAUUCUACCAAAUAAUCUUUCACAGUCUACCUUUUACUUUGCAAUGUAAUGCCUGAAACUACUGUAAUGAGUAUGAGUUAAUGCUGCCUGCCAUCAAGUGAUUCUUCUGUUGUUUGCUAAGCUGUGUUGAAAUUACCUUGUAUCCAAAUGAGUUCCCAGAAACUAAUUUGAAAAGGGCAAGUACAAGACCAAUUGAGUUUUUGGGUUAGUAUUAGCAAUGAUCAGAAAUGAUAACCAUUAUAGGUGGUUGCAGGGCUGAGAAACGGGAGCAAUGCCUUGUUCUAUCUAUUGACACUGCAUCCUUAAGCAUGUAGAUGCCUUUUUACAUGUCUUAAGAGGAUUGUAUAUCCACAAAUUUCUUAGGUAUUGUUUCACUUUGAGGAAAGUCAAAUUGCUCACUGGUAAUCUGAUACCCAAAUUGAACACGCCCAACAAUAUACAUACAAUGUACGAGCUUGUGCAUAAUUUAGGUUGUCAUGGUAGGUAUGCUAUUAUCAACACAAUUUUUUUGUGAUUAUUCUGAUUCAUAUGCGAUCAUCAUCAUAUUCUUUGGAACAAAUGGUAGAAAUUUCAGAUGUUUGAAAUCGUGCAGUGCAUUCAUCCCACUGUGCUUUGCUGGCUCUUUGAAGGAGCAAUUGUGAUUAGUUCCACAUCCCUCAUUUUUGCUCAUUCCCAAUCAUCUCCCCAUCCUUAUAUCUCUAGCUCCCUUUUUAACAUUAUUUAUGGAAUUACCCUUACAGAACCUAGCAAAACUAGGUUAAAAUAAAUUUACUCAGUCUGUUUUACUGGUGCUGUUGAAUCUAUAGCUUCCUAAAGGGUACAAUAUUUUUCUCUCUCCCCUAUCAAAACCUCUCAUCAUUUCAUUCUUUCGUUAAGAUACUUGAGCAUUUCUGCCCCAACUUUUCCAGCCUCUUAACUGAAGUUUCACAUCCCUGGUAAGAUCCUGCCAAGUCUCUUCUUGCCUUUCCUUUGGCCACAAUCUUUGUAUUAUUUCUGAAAUGUGCCAGGAAUUGUCCACAGUACUCCUCCUCAACUUGGCCUACCCCAUUGAAGGACUUAUAUAUAUGCUCACCAAAUUCUUUCCCAUCGCAUAUCAUUUGCAUUGUACGAUUAUCUAUAUUAGUACUCCCACUUGUUCACCAUCUGGCAUUCUGAUGUCUUCAUCAUUUCCUACUUUGCCAAAUUUUGUGCUAUCUGCAAAUAGCAGCCAUGUAGAGUGUUAUUUUACAGUGAAUGCUGGCAAUAUACAUUUAUAUGCCUAGUUGAGAUGUUUGCUUAAUUUUAUUUUUUAAACGUCUUUAUUAAGUUAUACAUAAUGUAAUAAAAUUGUAAUUUUAUACUGAGCAAGAAUCAUGAGUAUCUAAAUGUGAAAAUGGCAGUUAUUUGGGGGAUAGAUGUUAGAAUAUUACUCUCCAGGUUUAUCCAUUCAGUAGUUAAUUGUGGGAGACCAGGAAGGCGGCAUUUGCAAUCCCAAAUCUGUGUAGUUUGCUGAUCAUAGCAUAGGCACUAAAAUUCACUUCAUUACAUUGAUUAUGGAGAUUCAAUGAAAAAUUUGCCUAUCAUGGUCACACAGCCAUCACAAUUCAUUGUUGGGGCUCACAUUUCAAAAAUUGCUAUUUACAUGGAGUACUGGCCACUUGUGGGAAACAAAGUCUGGGUACGAAGUAACAUUCAAAGUGAUGCAAAUUGAUGAAAAACAUUUAGUUCAUUUAAAAAAUAUAUAAUUGAAGGGAAAGCCACGCUUUUCAUUUUUUUUCUGCUGCCACAUUUGAGCCUGCGAAUAGUGUUGUAGUGCUCCUGAGUAUUUGCUAAAACCAGCAAUAUCAAUGGCAAAUAACUUUGCUGUGUAUGCAGUGUUUAACAAGUUGUAAAUUUUUGCAUGAAAGUUGCAUGUAUUUUCUAGCAAUAAAUCUGCACGAUAAACUAAA